AAUUUAUGGUUUGUAGUAAGUUUGCAAAUUCUAAAUACAAUAUAUAUUAAAUAAAAUAUAUACAAAUAUGUAUUGUAUAUAUAUAUAUAUAAAUGUUUAUGUUGCUCAAUGAAAACUAUAUGAUAAAACAAAUUAAAAAAAUGUAUUGCUGAAAUUAAGAGAAAUAAAAAAAAAAACAAAAAAAAAAAAAUAAAAAACAAAAAAAAAAAUCUUUGACAAAAAUAAAUAUUUAAAAGAGACAAAACGCACUGAAUUUGUGACAUAUUAGGUAAAUAUUAUAUUUAAACUUUUUGGCCUAUUUAUAUCAAUAAAUAUAUGUUAUUAUAUUUUAAUGUUUAAACAACAACUACACUCCUUUUUUAAGCUAAGUGAAUAAAAAAACUGUCGGUGAGCACAACACAACAAAAAAAAAAAAAUUUAAAACAAAUAAACACACACACACAAACAAAAAUCUACAAUAGAACCAUUACAUUCAAGAAGUUCUUCCGUUGCAGAUUUAUAUGAAAAAGUAGCUAGUUUAAAUUAUUAAUUUAUUUUAUCAAAAAAUAACAAGUUAGCAUUAUUACAAUUUACUGAUGUAUACAAAAAUUCUCUUAAUUAAAAUUUAUUCCACUAUGCAAAGCAAAAAUAUUUUUUUUUAAAUUUUUGAAUCUGUUUUGCAUUUAUUUUUUAAUUAUCAUUAAACCCAAACAGCUUCCUAAAAAAAAAAUACGCACCGAAAAAAAAAAAAAUCAUAAAUGCAAAAUAACAAUAAACUAACUCAAUCAAAAGCAAUUUUCUUCACAUUUCCUAACAAAAAUUAAAUUAUAAAAAAAUAUUUAAAAAAAUAAUAUUCUAAAAACAAAAUUAAAAAAUAAAUGUGUCUAUCUUCACUAUCCAUAAUCGACAAAAACGAAAAGAAAUAUUUAACAAAAGUAAAAAAAAUAAUUAAAUAAAAAAAUAAGAAAUAAAUAAAAAAACGAAACAAAAAGUAAUAUUUUUAAUCGCCUUAAGUAAUGUGCCAUUAAAGUUUCAGAUUAAAAUCUGUUACGUUAUUGUAUAUGCCUUAGGUUUCCCUUCAAAAAAAAAAAAAAUAUAAAAGAAUGAAUGAAAAACAAAAGAAUAUAUAAUAUCCAGGAAAUUCCUUGGAAUUAUAUGAGACAAAACCUAAAAUAACUUUUUAUAUAAGUUUUUUAUUUUAUACUUAACAUGUGAUAAUAUGAAAUUAAUUCGCAUAUGCAACUGUCUUAAAAUCAAUUUAUUAUCUACUUUUUUUUUAAAUUAUUUAAAUUAUUUUUUCUCUUUACUUUCCGCCAUGCUAACUUUUAUAUUGUAACAACUAAUUUCCGCUUUUCCUAUAUACAAAACAACAGUACAGUAUCUCUAUUUAUCACGCAAAUUCUGAGCACAUAUUUAUUUCAAUCUAAAUGCCACCGAACUAUAUAAAAAGAAAUCAAAACAACAUUUAAAAGUUAUAAUGUAAAAAUGGCAAAACUCUAUAACUGUCAGUUUAAAAAGAAAAAAAAAAAAUAGGCACAGGAUACAGAAGAUCUUCAUUCAGCCGAGAGGAGUAAAGAAAACGAAUUCAAUUUCUACACAAAUAAACUGUGAUAAAGAAAAGUGAGCAAUUUGUUUAAAUUUAAACCCAAUAUCAUUUUUUAAAACUUAAAACUAAAUUGCUCACCGGCAAUUUAUACAAACAAAAAACAAAAAAAAGUAUUAAGUUUUGGUAGAAAACAAAAACAAAAACAACAACUGACAACAUCAACAACAACAACACCAGAAAGAACCCAGCUUCGUAUGUUCCGAAUGAUUUAAGUAGGACUUGUGUAUGGAUGAACUGGUAAAUAUUUUAGUAAAGAAAAAUUAAUUUACAGUAGAUACUCAAAAAAAUUAAAAUAAAAUGAAUAACCACAUAAGUUUUCGACAAUACUAUGCGAGAAGUUAGAAACAUGAAUGAAAAAUGCAAAAAUGAAAAAAACAAAAAUGUGAAUAUCAAACAAAAAUUAUGUGUGCCAAAUAUUCCAUAUAUAAGUAAAGUACGUAUUUCAAUCGAUUGUAGGAUAACACAAUAAUAAAAAACGAAUAAAAAAAAAAAGAUUAUAAACAAAACAAAAACAAUCCACAAGAAAUGAACAAACAAAAUCUAAUUAAAAAAUUCAUACAUUUUGAAUGCCCAGUCUGUAAAUUUAAAUAAAUAAAAAAAAUAAAUUCUUCAAAAAUUAAAUUAAGUUAAAUGGAAAGAUUUAAAUUACAAUAGUACACACAAAAUCAAUCUUUGAGCUACGCCAGCGAUUUACUAAUUCUUUUUAUAAGUUUUAUCAAGUGUUAAAUUUUCACAAAUUUUUUUUUUUGAAACUUGGCCGACGAAUAAUUUUUUUUCUUACAUUCGGAAGCUGUGAUUUUCGGAUCAAAGUCUUGAAACAAAUUUUUGUUUUAAACACAACUGAGAACUAGCUGCGGCCAUACGAACUAUUAUUUAGUAAACUAUGUAUGUAGUUUAUUUAUCUGGAAUAUCGUUCAGCUGGGACUAAGUUCAUAAUUAUAAUUUAAUGCAAGCUUUUGUUUGAAGAUUAAGGACGACAUUGUCCUCUGCAACCAUCUCGAAUUACUCUAAUUCGAAACAGUAGAAAAGU